rnacentral:rRNA from 1 species
UAGAGUUUGAUCCUGGCUCAGAUUGAACGCUGGCGGCAUGCCUUACACAUGCAAGUCGAGCGGCAGCGCGGGGGCAACCCUGGCGGCGAGCGGCGAACGGGUGAGUAAUGCAUCGGAACGUGUCCUCUUGUGGGGGAUAACCAGUCGAAAGACUGGCUAAUACCGCAUGAGCUCGAGAGAGGAAAGCAGGGGAUCCGCAAGGACCUUGCGCGAGAGGAGCGGCCGAUGCCGGAUUAGCUAGUUGGUGGGGUAACGGCCUACCAAGGCGACGAUCCGUAGCUGGUCUGAGAGGACGACCAGCCACACUGGGACUGAGACACGGCCCAGACUCCUACGGGAGGCAGCAGUGGGGAAUUUUGGACAAUGGGGGCAACCCUGAUCCAGCCAUGCCGCGUGAGUGAUGAAGGCCUUCGGGUUGUAAAACUCUUUUGGCGGGGACGAUAAUGACGGUACCCGCAGAAUAAGCACCGGCCAACUACGUGCCAGCAGCCGCGGUAAUGCGAC